rnacentral:rRNA from 1 species
GAUGAACGCUGGCGGCGUGCCUAAUACAUGCAAGUCGAGCGAACAGACGAGGAGCUUGCUCCUCUGACGUUAGCGGCGGACGGGUGAGUAACACGUGGAUAACCUACCUCUAAGACUGGGAUAACUUCGGGAAACCGGAGCUAAUACCGGAUAAUAUAUUGAACCGCAUGGUUCAAUAGUGAAAGACGGUUUUGCUGUCACUUAUAGAUGGAUCCGCGCCGCAUUAGCUAGUUGGUAAGGUAACGGCUUACCAAGGCAACGAUGCGUAGCCGACCUGAGAGGGUGAUCGGCCACACUGGAACUGAGACACGGUCCAGACUCCUACGGGAGGCAGCAGUAGGGAAUCUUCCGCAAUGGGCGAAAGCCUGACGGAGCAACGCCGCGUGAGUGAUGAAGGUCUUCGGAUCGUAAAACUCUGUUAUUAGGGAAGAACAAAUGUGUAAGUAACUAUGCACGUCUUGACGGUACCUAAUCAGAAAGCCACGGCUAACUACGUG